rnacentral:sRNA from 1 species
GCCGGGUCACCGCCUAAUCGGGCACCCGGGACCACGGGUGCCGAGCCGGGAACCCACGUUUCCACUGGGGUGAAUCCCGCCGGGCCGUCUCGUACGGACCGGGGGGUAGGGCUGAUCUUCCCAGCCCGAACCCGUCAGCUAACUCGGUCGGCGGACGAAGAGGAAGA